rnacentral:rRNA from 1 species
GACUCGUGUCGUGAGAUGUUGGGUUAAGUCCCGUAACGAGCGCAACCCUUGUCCUUAGUUACCAGCACGUUAUGGUGGGCACUCUAAGGAGACUGCCGGUGACAAACCGGAGGAAGGUGGGGAUGACGUCAAGUCAUCAUGGCCCUUACGGCCUGGGCUACACACGUGCUACAAUGGUCGGUACAAAGGGUUGCCAAGCCGCGAGGUGGAGCUAAUCCCAUAAAACCGAUCGUAGUCCGGAUCGCAGUCUGCAACUCGACUGCGUGAAGUCGGAAUCGCUAGUAAUCGUGAAUCAGAAUGUCACGGUGAAUACGUUCCCGGGCCUU